UUCUUAUUGUAGUUCGGCCGCAUACACUGAAACAAAAAGUAGUUCAUGGCACAUAGCGGUCUGGAGGGCGCCGCUGCCUUGCAGGAUAACGCCGCUCUGCCGUGGCUGGAAGAGAAGACGAAGCUGGCUGCACCGGGUCGCGGCUGUCGGGUCGCGGCUGCUCGGGGUCGUCUCGCUGUUCAGGGAUGUACGCUGGCGACGUUGUUCUUGGCGCUGGCCUUCUCUGCUGUGUGCCAAGCGGGCCACUACGGAGGCCACGGUGGUGGUCAUGGCGGUGAUCAUGGCGGCUACACGUUCAGCCAUGGCUAUACGAACUACUUCGACAACCAGAAGGCACAUCACGGCUAUGGCGGAGGCUACGGAGGGGGAGGCGGAGGAGGAGGGGGAGGAGGAUACGGUGGAGGCUACGGCCACGGCCACUACGGCUAACUCCAGGAGUCACAGUGACCUGUACAUAUGACACGGAUGAGAUAGAAUAUGCCACGCAGAGCCGAGAUACAAGCGAAAAUGCGCACUUUCGAAGGGUUUUCUGAACAAAUCAAGCAUCCAGAGACCACUGUUACAACGGUGGAUCUACAGGCCAACGCAGCAGUAGGAUGCAACAGUGUCGAUUUAGAUGCCACUGAAUAAAGCUGCAAGCUUGGAGAAAGUACAGCGUGACGCAUGAAAGAUGAAUGCCAAAAAUCAGCAGCCACUGUCUUUCGCCCAGGUACGGGCGAGUCCGACGUUUCGUGGUUGUUUCAUACUAUAUUUCACUGCAUGUACUUGUUGCCGAACUUUCGAAACCAAUAAACUCUUUCCAAAACAA